GGUUGGAAAGGGCAUCGCCGGAGUUCCAAAAUCUGACGAUCGGGUGGGCCACUUGGGCUAGUCGCCCUGUCUUCCCCAAAAAAGAGAAGCAGAAGGCGGAGAGCCCUCCGUCCGAUCAUGAUUCCACCCUUGGAGGGUCCCUACCUUCAUUCUACCAGAAGACCCUCGAGACUCGUAGUCGAGAGGACCUUCUAGAUCAAAGAUUCUAAGAGAUGAACCGACGGA
rnacentral:lncRNA from 1 species